rnacentral:rRNA from 1 species
AUUGAACGCUGGCGGCAGGCUUAACACAUGCAAGUCGAGCGAGCGGCGGACGGGUGAGUAAUGUCUGGGAAACUGCCUGAUGGAGGGGGAUAACUACUGGAAACGGUAGCUAAUACCGCAUACCAUCAGAUGUGCCCAGAUGGGAUUAGCUAGUGGGUGGGGUAAUGGUUCACCUAGGCGACGAUCCCUAGCUGGUCUGAGAGGAUGACCAGACACAAUGGGACUGAGACACGGUCCAGACACCUAGGGGAGGCAGCAGUGGGGAGUAUGGCACAUUGGGCGCAAGCCUGAUGCAGUCAUGACGCUUGUGUGAAGAAGGCCUUCGGGUUGUAAAGCACUUUCAGCGAGGAGGCGUUACUCGCAGAAGAAGCACCGGCUAACGCCGUGCCAGCAGCCGCGGUAAUUC